rnacentral:rRNA from 1 species
AGCGAACGCUGGCGGCAGGCCUAACACAUGCAAGUCGAACGAACCUUUCGGGGUUAGUGGCGGACGGGUGAGUAACACGUGGGAACGUGCCUUUAGGUUCGGAAUAACUCAGGGAAACUUGUGCUAAUACCGAAUGUGCCCUUCGGGGGAAAGAUUAAUCGCCUUUAGAGCGGCCCGCGUCUGAUUAGCUAGUUGGUUGAGGUAAUGGCUCACCAAGGCGACGAUCAGUAGCUGGUCUGAGAGGAUGAUCAGCCACAUUGGGACUGAGACACGGCCCAAACUCCUACGGGAGGCAGCAGUGGGGAAUCUUGCGCAAUGGGCGAAAGGCUGACGCAGCCAUGCCGCGUGAAUGAUGAAGGUCUUAGGAUUGUAAAAGUCUUUCACCGGGGACGAUAAUGACGGUACCCGGAGAAGAAGCCCCGGCUAACUUCGUG